rnacentral:tRNA from 1 species
GCAGCGUUAGUACAUCGGUAGUGCGCCGGCUUCCCAAGCCGGAUAGGCGGGUCCGAUUCCCGUACGCUGCU